rnacentral:rRNA from 1 species
UACGAAGGGGGCUAGCGUUGUUCGGAUUUACUGGGCGUAAAGCGCACGUAGGCGGAUUGGUCAGUUAGGGGUGAAAUCCUGGAGCUCAACUCCAGAACUGCCUUUAAUACUGCCAGUCUCGAGUCCGGAAGAGGUAAGUGGAACUCCUAGUGUAGAGGUGGAAUUCGUAGAUAUUAGGAAGAACACCAGUGGCGAGGGCGGCUUACUGGUCCGGUACUGACGCUGAGGUGCGAAAGCGUGGGGAGCAAACAGG